UACGUAGGGGGCUAGCGUUACUCGGAUUUACUGGGCGUAAAGCGAAUGUAGGCGGUUGGGUCAGUCAGAGGUGAAAUCCCUCAGCUUAACUGAGGAACUGCCUUUGAUACUGCCUAACUAGAGGACAGGAGAGGAAAGUGGAAUUCCCGGUGUAGCGGUGGAAUGCGUAGAUAUCGGGAGGAACACCAGAGGCGAAGGCGGCUUUCUGGACUGUUCCUGACGCUGAGAUUCGAAAGCUAGGGGAGCAAACAGGAUUAGAUACCCGCGUA
rnacentral:rRNA from 1 species